rnacentral:rRNA from 1 species
UAGGGAAUCUUCGGCAAUGGGGGGAACCCUGACCGAGCAACGCCGCGUGAGUGAAGAAGGUUUUCGGAUCGUAAAGCUCUGUUGUUAAGGAAGAACGAGUGUGAGAAUGGAAAGUUCAUACUGUGACGGUACUUAACCAGAAAGGGACGGCUAACUACGGGCCAGCAGCCGCGGUAAUACGUAGGUCCCGAGCGUUGUCCGGAUUUAUUGGGCGUAAAGCGAGCGCAGUCGGGUAGAUAAGUCUGAAGUUAAAGGCAGUGGCUCAACCAUUGUAGGCUUUGGAAACUGUGUAACUUGAGUGCAGAAGGGGAGAGUGGAAUUCCAUGUGUAGCGGUGAAAUGCGUAGAUAUAUGGAGGAACACCGGUGGCGAAAGCGGCUCUCUGGUCUGUAACUGACGCUGAGGCUCGAAAGCGUGGGGAGCGAACAGG